rfam:Microvirga sp. V5/3M, complete genome.
ACCGGGGUCCGGGCCCCUCUGGCAGUCUUCUCCAGACUGCGAUGUCGGACUCUCUCA